YUKYWKRRKKCGCCCUUAGGAAGCACCGGCUAACUCCGUGCCAGCAGCCGCGGUAAUACGGAGGGUGCGAGCGUUGUUCGGAUUUAUUGGGCGUAAAGCGCGUGUAGGCGGUUUUUUAAGUCUGAUGUGAAAGCCCCGGGCUCAACCUGGGAAGUGCAUUGGAUACUGGGAGACUUGAUACGGGAGAGGUAGUGGAAUUCUAGUGUAGAGUGAAUCCUAGAUAUUAGAGGAACACGGUGGCGAAGCGGUACUGACGAUAUUGACGUGAACGCGAAGCUGGAGCAACAGAUAAUACUGUAUCACGCGAACAUGAGAUAGUGUGCGGUAAGGGGAUUCACCCUGCGGCGUAUAKGAUCGAGUCGUACAGUGCUAUCUGUCUAUGUUCU
rnacentral:rRNA from 1 species